UUGGAUAAAAGCGUCUGCUAAAUGCAGAAAAUACAAUACACAAUACACUAGUGGGGUAGUAUGCAAAAAAAUCAGGCUACUUCUGGCUGUUUUGCAAGUGCAUAUAUUCCCCUCUUUGUGAAUCAAUGCUUAAUGAAUGUUAAAUUUAAGCAUACGCAAUAAUGUACAACAUGUACGGACUGUAGAUGGGUUAGUAAUCACAAAACUGAGGUUGUUGCACAACAGACUCGUAACUCGCAGCAGAAACAUUCUCAGUUGAAUUCAUGAGCUGGAGAGAAAAAAUAGCAACACAGUAAACAGGAUGUUGCUUGUCAGUGGGGCUAUCCUGGUGAGCGCAGGGGUUGCCAUGGUUACCAUUUCCUGAGAAAUUUACAGCCAAUCAAAAGAGGGAAAAGAGGUUUUACAGACUGUCUGCACUUGGAAACGCAGGGUAGAAUGACAUUGUGUCAGUGGGUUCACUUGACACACUUCAGUGAACCCAAAAAGCAUGGCACACGUUUUAGCACUCACACUCGUUUUAUAGUUGAGACUAGCGUUGUUUUAUGCUGUCUGCGUCUCUGUAAAUGUGUCUGGGUCGAUUUCCUAGACCUAAAAUGAACACAAGUAGCAGUUUUAAUGAUGUUUCAAAGCUUCAAGAUGAGGGGGUUUUUAUGUAAGAGAAUGAGAGCUUGUGAUAUUUGCAUUUGUGACCUUAUAUAACAAUAUCAAUAUUUCAUUUGUGUUGUUUUCAUGUACAGUACCGCGUCCUUGAACAUCUGUAGCAGAUGAGUUAUAUAACCUAGAAAAUGGGCCACCUCAUGGACGGGAGAAAGAGGAAAAACCCAAAAGCACAUGAGAGGUUAUAAGGAUUCAGCCACAAUAUCUUUCGGCUUUGAGAAACGCGAAGCAGCGGUCUGAGAAGCAGCGAACUGCAGCCUACACCGGCACAGAUUUCGGUGAUAGACAGCAGGAAGCAAGGGCUGCGUCUGACGCGCUGAACUUUAGAUCCUGGAAAAUCCCCAUAAAGUCUGCGAAACCAAACAAACCGGAGCAGAUGCAUCUGAUCUCAUUCCUGUUUAUGCUGCUCAGACUGAAUAUGCAGUCCCUUUCUUCUGGAAUAUGUGGGUGCAGAUCCUGGGAAUGACUGAUUUGACGAGAUAACACUUAGAAUGUGGCUUAAAAUAGCUGCGGGACGUUUGCUGUUGAGCGGUUGUUGAUGUCAGAUAACACUGCCGUGGGGGAGGCUGGGAUUUGAGACGAGCUAUUCCUGUCCGUCAGCUCCGGGCCACACCACAACCUCAGAGAAGAUUUCUCUGAACUCUUUCAGCCCGUCCUCAGAGUCAGAAACAUCUGAUAGAUGGAGCAGAGUCAUUUAACGCUUGAAGGAUGCAGACAGCUCCUUUAAACACAAACCUCUUCAGGGAGACAGAAACACACAAGUAAACAAGCAUCCGUGCAGCAAAGAAUGAACACAAGGCCGCUGCUGGGCUGAUGUCAAAGGUCAUCCCUCCUCUCCUCUCCGUUUCCAUGCAUUCACUUCCUCGACCCAUCAGAUGGUCACUAAUCUGCUGAGCUGGUGCCUCGACGAGAGACGGAUAAGCCGUGAUUGGACCAUGACAGCGCCUGAAAUAACUGCUUGUUGACGGUCAUUCAGACAAACUGAAUGAGCUGUUACGGGAUUUUUAUCUGUAAUGGAGAGUGAGAUAUGGCUGGAGUCCCGCUGAGCAGAAACUCGCAUUACAGACGCAAAGCAGCGUGGGAAACCUGGGGUUAAGCAUUGCACAAUGCAACGUGGGACAUCCAUCUGUUUUGUGUCAACUCGCCCCAACGGUGCACCGUAGGCCAAAACAUUUAUAAUGAGAAGAGACAAAUAUGAAGGGAUUAGACAUGUCAGUGUAAUAGUUUGCACUUCAGACUUGAUUUGAAAUGACUUUGCAUUUUCUGAUUUAAAAAUAUAUAAUGGACUGUUUUUACAGCCUGUUUUUACAUAAAGGGACUUUAUGUAGAAUUCAGAAACUCUUGGUAUUAGCGACACCGGUGGCCGUUAAGUGAACUGCAGCCAGCGCCAUAUUGCUUGUGCUUAUGUUCUUCGCUUAGAAGUAAAAAGAAGUUGGAAAUACCCUUGCAGCUUUCCUCUCAAUAACAAAAUAAACACAAAAAUGACAGAGGUGAGAAAACAGCAGUUCAGAUAUGUUUGCACCAGCUCUGCGAUUCUCCGCCAUCAUGUCGACAGAUGAGGUCAUUACAAUUACACUGUUAUUAUAGUUUCAUUAUAAAGUAUAUUUGAGACUAUAGACUAUAUAAAUCUGACUGUGUGGGAAUAUAGUUUGAAUGAGUCCUUUUCUUUGAAUGACACACUGACAUUACUUUUAUCCUGAACAUUGUAUAAGCAUUAAUUUCAUGUGCCGUUGAAAGGAAGAGAGGAUCUAGGGAGCGCAUAAAUGUCACAUCCUUGAUUUUUCCUGGCAAAAAUGAGUCCUUCACAUUAAAAUCAGUCGACAGGCUUUCAUAGACAACCUAGGAGGUCGGGAAAGGUCUCGUUUUUCAAGUUUCAUUACAAGCUGUUCACACAUUGGCAAUACAAAAAGCGAUUAACACUUGAAAAUUCUUACAUAUAGCCCCUUUAAAUUUAUGAGGGCUUUGUGUUUUGGUUUGGACAUUAUAUGGCAAUGUAGAAUUUUAAAUUUAUUCCAGCUGUGAGCAUUUGAUGUCUCAGGGCCAAAUUAAUUUCCAAAGUCAACGUUCACAAGUGACUGAUUCUGCUGAAAGCACAGCGGAUCACAUAUUCAUAAGAGAAGCUGGUUUCAGUUGGUUUGGUUUUCAUGCCCAACAGAAGUCAACAUGUGGAUUAAUGAUGUGCACUACUCCCAUUAGACUAAUAAUGCCUCUGUAGUGUGUACUACGCAGUCAGACGCGCAAAGAAGUUCAUCUCACCGUUUGUGUUUGUUAUGCUAAAUGAUUCCUCGGAACAGGGCAGCAUUAACAAUAAAUUUGAUCAUAUGAUGAAGACAAAUAUACUUUAAUCUUAAUCUACAUACAGUAGAUGUGCAUUUACGCCAAAGCCACAUUUGUUCCAUACAGAAGCUUUUUGUUUUCAUUUAAUUAUGAUUUCAAGGUCCGAAACAUAUUACACAAGCACUUAAACAUGAGUGAUUCUUCUAGAUACGCAAUAGUUUUGCAUAGUUUUGCAAUGUAAACACGUUCUCCGCAUCGCCACAAGGGGCGAAAGAGUGAGCUUUAGUCAAAACGGUCUUCUUCUAAAGUCAAUUUUCACUUUCAGAUCAACAAUCAUCAUAGCAAGACUUAGAAGAGGAUCUAACUAACAAAAAAAUUGUAAAUUUGACAAAUAUUUGCAAAGAAAUAGCAAGUAGCAAGUAGAAAAACUGUAAUAGUAUUUCUUGUAAAACAUACUCCAAGCUUUAUUUACAACUUCAAAAAACCUAUAUAUUAUUUUGAAAAACAGUGUAUUUGAAGUUAGUGAAAGUGGUCAAAUGUUUCCAGCUAGCUUACUGAAUAUUAGCAGUAAAUUGGAAUAAAGCCCCGCUAUCCAUUUCUAGUUUCAACAUUAUUUCUUCUUCAGACAUUCCCCUUUAAAUGCAUAUCAGCUGUAUGCAAAGUGAACCACAUUUGGUUUUUGACCAUUAAAAAUGGGUAAAAUGCAAUAAAUUGAACAUGGAGUCGCUGAACCAUAUAGAAUAAGAAUUUAAAAAAAGUUUAAGAACCAGAAUAUAAAAUUAUAUUGAGAUAUCUUCAAUACUUUUUGACUUGCAGGCACCAAAUUGGAAAUGCAAUAUUUAUAACACUAUAUAGGUAUAUUAUAUUCUAUGCAAAAACAAGAUCCAUUUCUAGUUUCAACAUUUAUUUAUAUUUCAGAUAUUCCUCUUUAAAAGAAAAAAGUAUCAGCUGUAUGCAAAGUGACCCACAUUUUGUUUUUGGCCACUGAAAAUGGGUACAAUUGACUAAUUUACUCAUGGAGUCGCAUUAAGAUCUCCAUAUCUGUGGCAUUGUAACAUAUGGAGCCUUUAAAAUGAAGAUACCAAAAGAAAUGUUUGUUAAAAACCAAAAUAUGAAAGGAUAUUAAUACUUCUUGAGUUACAGGCAUGCAAAC